rnacentral:lncRNA from 12 species
GGAUUGUGCACAGUCUUCUCCAUGGAGCUCUAACAGAAUAGAACCUAUCAUUUGGACCUGACUGGUUUCAGGCAUUACCCAUCUGGAGAUCCAGAAAGAGCAUCCAGCUAUGUAUUUAACCUUGACCAAAGGACAAUCCUCCUGUGCCACCGAAGAAAGAUGAUCUGGAAAACAACUGAACACAUAACCAAGAGUCCCAGGCCUGCAGAAGGUGAAUAAACACGUCUGUCCUGAUGUUCCUGAACGUUCUCAGCCUGAAGCACACCACUGACUGUGCUACCGAGAUCUUGCUGCCUCUGAGCAGGAGUCCGCGAGAAACUGCAGGGUAACCCUGCCCCAUGUUUAUGUCACAGACCAAGGCCAUCAGAGGGAACUCAUUCAAAUUCCUGCCACAGUUUCUGCAACUCCGAGAGCCUCUGUAGCUUGUCUUCCUCCUCUCUGACUGCAGGUAUCAAACAGAAAUUGCACUGGACACUUGUUCAAAACAGCAGGGAAGAUUUUAUUCAAGGUUAUUGCAACAUGGGGGAGAGAUUGUACUCAACUCCACAGACAUAGAAAUAGGAUAGUUUUUCAGCACCAGGCUGGGCUGUGGUGAAAGUCCUGGGGGUCCUUAGGGAAGAGGAGGGUCAAUAUGAUUAGACCAUCUGUGUCUUCUGAUUGUCUAACUUAAAACUGAAGUUAGGCUUCCACCCUGCAGGG